rnacentral:rRNA from 1 species
GAAUUUAUGGGUUUGAUCCUGGCCCAGAAUGAACGCUAGCAACAGGCCUUACACAUGCAAGUUAAACAUAAUUUUUAUGUAGCGAACGGGUGAGUAACGCGUAAGAACCAACCCAUAUGGCCGGCUAAAUUCCGGAUUAAAAGGUGAAAUCCCUGUAUGGACGGGCUUGCGUAGGAUUAGGUAGUUGGUGUUGGUAACGGCACACCAAGCCGAAGAUCCUUAGCUGGUCUGAGAGGAUGUCCAGCCACACUGGGACUGAGACACGGCCCAGACUCCGAAUUGGAGGCAGCAGUGGGGAAUUUUAGACAAUGGGCGAAAGCUUGAUCUAGCUAUGUUGCGUGGGCGAAGAAGGCCAUAUGAGUCGUAAAGCCCUUUUUAAGCUUUGGGGAUUAUGACGUCCAGCUUAGAAAAAGCCCCGGCUAAUUCCGUGCCAGCAGCCGCGGUAAGACGGGAGGGGCAAGUGUUAUUCGGAAUGAUUGGGCGUAAAGAGCUUGUAGGCGGUAUAGUAGGUUGAAAGGUGCCAGUCCAAGGCCCAACCUUGGAAUGUCCUUCAAAACCCCUAUACUAGAGUAUGGAUCACGAGAGUGGAAUGCCAUGUGGAGCGGUUAAAUGCGUAGAUAUAUGGAGGAAGACCAAAGGCGAAGGCAACUCUCUGGGCCAAAACUGACGCUGAGAAGCGAAAGCGUGGGUAGCAAAUGGGAUUAGAUACCCCACUAGUCCACGCCGUCAACGAUGAGUGUUAACUGAGUUGUGUAUAAAGUAUAUUAACUUAGUUCAGCUAACGCGUAAACACUCCGCCUGGGAAGUACGGCCGCAAGGCUAAAACUCAAAGGAAUUGACGGGGGCCUGCACAAGCGGUGGAGCAUCUUGUUUAAUUCGACACUACGCGCAGAACCUUACCAACCCUUGCAUAUAUGAGAACUUUAGUUGGAAAACUUAAGUAUUCCAUAUACAGGCGUUGCAUGGCUGUCGUCAGUUCGUGGCGUGAGCUGUUAGGUUAAGUCCUAAAACGAACGUAACCCUUAUGAUCAAUUGGUUUCUUUGGUCAAACUGCCGGUAAUACAUCGGAGGAAGGUGAGGAUGACGUCAAGUCCGCAUGGCCCUUAUGGGUUGGGCUACAAAGGUGCUACAGUGGCGACUACAACCGGUAGCAAUGGCGCAAGCCGGAGCCAAUCCUUAAAAGUCGUCGUGGUUUGGAUUGUUCUCUGCAAUUCGAGAGCAUGAAAGUGGAAUCGCUAGUAAUCGCGGAUCAGAACGCCGCGGUGAAUCUGUACCCAGGCCUUGUACACACCGCCUGUCCCAUUUAGGAAAUACGUUUGGCCCAAACGUGCAUUAUAGUAUGUAUUCAAUAUGUGUAUGUAUUACACCCAAACGCAUUCAUACAGUUUUGUACAUUAAGGCAAGGCGUGUAACUUAAAUGAAGUCAUAACAAGGUAGCCGUAGGGGAACCUGCGGCUGGAUUGACUCCUUUU